AGCCGCGGUGUUGCGUGGGAUACCGCCACCGCUGGCGGCCUCGGAAAUGAGCGAAACGCGUGGAGCAGAAUAGACGUUCCGUUCAAAGGAACAUCAGUCCCGCUUAGGGGACAUUAUGCGACGGCGGGCGUACGACGCAAGACCCGGCGGAUUGUUUACCUGGACGAAACGCGGGACCGGGACGGCA
rnacentral:misc_RNA from 1 species